CCUAUCCACACACAAGGCAGUCCAGAAGUACUGGGGAAUUAAUGUCCCUUGAGAGCAGCCCUCAGCCAAUGCCUGACAGCAUUUGGGAAACCCUCCCUUGUGAGAAAGAGCGAAAACAUCACAGCUAUGUUGAAGAAUUAAGAUUUUCCUUAAACUCAAGGGAUAGAACAGAGACAAGGGAAGAAUGCCACAGGUCAAGGUCACAGUCACCUUAUGACCUCGUGCACCCCAGCAACCUUCCUCACCUUGGGGUCCAGAAAGGCCUCGGGGGCCUCUUUCUCCCUGUGGAAUAAAGGCACACAUAGAGACA